CGAUUUGGGAUAAGUCCCUUGGAAAAGGGCAGCACAGAGGGUGAUACUCCCGUCUUUGCUCAGAUUGUCUAUGUGUACGAUACGCUUUCUUUGAGUCGAGUUGUUUGGGAAUACAGCUCAAAGUAGGUGGUAAAUUCCAUCUAAAGCUAAAUAUUGGUGCGAGACCGAUAGCGAACAAGUACCGUGAGGGAAAGAUGAAAAGAACUUUGAAAAGAGAGUUAAAGAGUACCUGAAACUGUUGAAAGGGAACCGUAACAUGUCCAGUGUUGUAUCUCGUGCAUAUUUCAUUAGUGGAGUAAUUUACUGGUGCCCUGUGCAUGAGUGUGACGUCAAAGUCAGUUUGUAUGCUGCGGGAGAUGGGUAGCAAGGAGGUGCGUCACUUUGUGUCAGUUAUACCUUGUUAUCUAGUAGCCGUGGUUGAGACUGAGGUGCCUACAACAUGCUUAUAGAGUAUAUUGUUGUCUCGUUAUUAUAUCUGUUUGGAUAGCUUGCUAUGCUGAUGGACUAUAGUGGCGAUUGACGAUGGUAUUAACUUUUUGCUGUUCGGGACUUUGACGAAAUGGAAUGUUACGACCCGUCUUGAAACACGGACCAAGGAGUCUAACAUGUGUGCAAGUAUUAGGGUGUGGAAACCCAAAUGCGUAAUGAAAGUAAAUGCUACCUGUGUAGCUUUGGUAGGAAAGGGCUGUCAUGGUCCUGGCACUAUCGACCGAUCAUGAACCUACGGGUGAAAGAUUUGAGUAUGAGCAUAUAUGUUGGUACCCGAAAGAUGGUGAACUAUGCCUGAAUAGAGUGAAGCCAGGGGAAACUCUGGUGGAAGCUCGUAGCGAUUCUGACGUGCAAAUCGAUCGUCAAAUUUGGGUAUAGGGGCGAAAG
rnacentral:rRNA from 1 species